rnacentral:rRNA from 1 species
CUGUCGCUAGCCUUUCAAAAGGUUGUGCACGCCCGAGUGCCCUCACACAUCCAUCUCACCCCUUUGUGCAUCACCGCGUGGGUCUCCUUUUGCAAAAGGAGCUCACGUUUUCACACAAAACUU